UGGGGAAUCUUGCGCAAUGGGCGAAAGCCUGACGCAGCAACGCCGCGUGCGGGAAGAAGGCCUUCGGGUCGUAAACCGCUUUCAGCAGGAACGAAAAUGACGGUACCUGCAGAAGAAGGUGCGGCCAACUACGUGCCAGCAGCCGCGGUGACACGUAGGCACCAAGCGUUGUCCGGAUUCAUUGGGCGUAAAGAGCUCGUAGGCGGUUCAGCAAGUCGGGUGUGAAAACUCUGGGCUUAACCCAGAGCCUGCAUCCGAAACUGCUGUGACUUGAGUUCGGUAGGGGAGCGGGGAAUUCCUGGUGUAGCGGUGAAAUGCGCAGAUAUCAGGAGGAACACCGGUGGCGAAGGCGCCGCUCUGGGCCGACACUGACGCUGAGGAGCGAAAGCAUGGGUAGCAA
rnacentral:rRNA from 1 species